CAAUAGCGUAUAUUAAAGUUGUUGCGGUUAAAAAGCUCGUAGUUGGAGUUCUGCCAGGUGCCGCCUGUCCGCCCCAGUGGUGAGUACGUGGCGCGCAUUUGGCCCUUUCAAGGGGAGCGUAUCUGCACUUUAUUGUGUGGUGCGGGAUCCUUGACUUUUACUUUGAGGAAAUAGGAGUGUUCCAAGCAGGCUCUCGUCGUGCACAGCUCAGCAUGGAAUAAUAGCAUUGGACCUCGAUUCUAAGCUGUUGGUUGCCAGAAGCGAGGUAAUGAUGAAGAGGGAUAGUUGGGGGCAUUCGUAUUUAACUGUCAGAGGUGAAAUUCUUGGAUUUGUUAAAGUCGGACUACUGCGAAAGCAUCUGCCAUGGAUGUUUUCAUUGA
rnacentral:rRNA from 1 species